CUUUACUAAUGAAAUAAUAUUAAAGUACAUUUAUAUUUCUAUAAUAUUAAAAUAAUGGAUUAGCAUCCAGAUACCACUAAGCUAAUUCUGAAGAUGGGUUCCUCCUGCGUUUACAACCCAAACUAAUGUUUUCCAGCACAAGUUUGCAGCCAGGCCAAUUAGAGCCCAGCAGGCUAUGGGGUGGGAGGCCUUGAGUUAGCACUGGGGGUAUUAAUUCACUGCCCCCCAUUUUUGCUAUUGCACAGCAUAGUAAGCAGCCCAGAGCAUGCCUUUUGCUGACAGAGGAGGACUUUGCUCACAUACUUGCUGGGUUAUUUCUGCCUCUUGGGUGGAGCGGGUCCAGAGGAGAGCGACAAAGAUGAUCAAAGGGCUGGAGCACCUCUUCUGUGAAGAAAGGCUGAGGGAGGCAGCUUUGUUCAUGCUGGAAAGAGAAGGCUCCAGGGAGACCUCGUUGUGGCAUUCCAGUACUUAAAGGGAGCCUAUUAGCAGGAGGGGAGAAAACUUUUUACACAGUCUGAUAGCGAUAGGACAAAGGGAAAUGGUUUUAAACUAAAAGAGCUUCUGUGAAGCAGGCUGAGGAGUCUCCCAGUCAUGUCCCUGAUCUGAGCCCCAAGGAGGCAGCACAUUUCCCUACAGGCGGGGUCUGGCUGGCUGACAGGGCCCUCCAUUCCUCUCAGAAGGGAGUCACCCAUGAUGAUUACCCUUCUUUCCUUCUUGGCAGAGGAGUCUUGAGGCGUGGAGUCAACCGCCUUGCCAUAGACAACCUCCUGGGUGGACCUCCCACAGCAUCUGCACCUGUCUUUGGAGUUCCAGAGCCUCAAACCUAUGGUGUAAAUGCAUCUGGGAAGGCAGCAUAGAUAUGGCAGGGAGCUGCUCCACCAGUUUGUCUCCUGCUCACACUCCCUGAUGCUCUUUAAUCUCUUCAGCUCUGCCACCAGGCUGAGCAGGUCAUCCACCUCAUGCAGAUGGUAUUUCUGCCAUCGUGCGGGGGCAGCAGCAGGCUCAGGCACCCCCCGCAUCUAGAGACCCGAAGAGUGGGUAGGCACUCAGUCUGGGUAGCCACGUUCCUUUUGGCAAGAGCUUUCUGCC
ensembl:lncRNA